rnacentral:rRNA from 1 species
GACAUAGGGCGCAAGCGUUGUCCGGAUUUAUUGGGCGUAAAGAGCUCGUAGGCGGCUUGUUGCGUCGACCGUGAAAACCCGUGGCUCAACUGCGGGCUUGCGGUCGAUACGGGCGGGCUAGAGUUCGGUAGGGGAGACUGGAAUUCCUGGUGUAGCGGUGAAAUGCGCAGAUAUCAGGAGGAACACCGAUGGCGAAGGCAGGUCUCUGGGCCACUACUGACGCUGAGAAGCGAAAGCAUGGGGAGCGAACAGG